rnacentral:rRNA from 1 species
CCUGCCGGACCUGACUGCUAUCGGAUUGAUACUAAGCCAUGCGAGUCUUUGUAGUAAUACAAGGCAGACGGCUCAGUAACACGUAGUCAACCUACCCUAUGGACAAGAAUAAUCUCGGGAAACUGGGCAUAAUUCUUGAUAGAUCAUAAUGCCUGGAAUGGUUUAUGGUUAAAAUGAUUCGUCGCCAUAGGAUGGGACUGCGGCCUAUCAGCUUGUUGGUGAGGUAAUGGCCCACCAAGGCGAUUACAGGUACGGGCUCUGAGAGGAGAAGCCCGGAGAUGGGUACUGAGACACGGACCCAGGCCCUAUGGGGCGCAGCAGGCGAGAAAACUUUGCAAUGUGCGAAAGCACGACAAGGUUAAUCCGAGUGAUUUCUGCUAAAGAAAUCUUUUGCCAGUCAUAAAACCACUGGUGAAUAAGGGGUGGGCAGGUUCUGGUGUCAGCCGCCGCGGUAAAACCAGCACCUCAAGUGGUCAGGAUGAUUAUUGGGCCUAAAGCAUCCGUAGCCGGCUUUGUAAGUUUUCGGUUAAAUCCAUGUGCUCAACGCAUGGGCUGCCGAAAAUACUGCAUAGCUAGGGAGUGGGAGAGGUAGACGGUACUCAGUAGGUAGGGGUAAAAUCCUUUGAUCUAUUGAUGACACCUGUGGCGAAGGCGGUCUACCAGAACACGUUCGACGGUGAGGGAUGAAAGCUGGGGGAGCAAACCGGAUUAGAUACCCGGGUAGUCCCAGCUGUAAACGAUGCAGACUGGAUGAUGCAUUGGCAUAAUAGCCAUUGCAGUGUCUCAGGGAAGCCGUUAAGUCUGCCGCCUGGGAAGUACGUACGCAAGUAUGAAACUUAAAGGAAUUGGCGGGGGAGCACCACAAGGGGUGAAGCCUGCGGUUCAAU